GCACAACAAGGUAGCCCAGUCGGUAGAGCAUGGGACUUUUAAUAUCAGAGUCAUGGGUUCAAGCCCCACGUAGGGCA